GCUUGGAUAGCUCAGUUGGUUAGUGCAUGGUGCUGAUAAUCCCAAGGUUGCAGGUUCCAUCCCCGUAUGGGACA